rnacentral:rRNA from 1 species
ACUCCUACGGGAGGCAGCAGUAAGGAAUAUUGGUCAAUGGACGAAAGUCUGAACCAGCCAUGCCGCGUGAAGGAUGAAGGUCCUCUGGAUUGUAAACUUCUUUUAUAUGGGACGAAAAUGGGCCUUUCUAGGUCAACUGACGGUACCAUAAGAAUAAGCACCGGCUAACUCCGUGCCAGCAGCCGCGGUAAUAC